CCUUUUUGGCCGCUCAGAGCCACCGUCCAGGCGCUGGGCUCCUCGUCACGUGAUGUCAACACGUCAACAUCACCGCUCUGUGCUGUCAUAGCAACAAACUACCACUAAAACACGGCUUCUCCUCACGUGCAAACUUUAAAACGCUUCGAUUCCACGCGUAGGACGAAGACCUGGAUGUUCGCCAUCUUGUUCGUGGCUGUCACCGCAGAGGUGCGUCCCUUUAGCCUAGCUUAGCUUAGCUCGGCUACCCGGAAGUAGAGUUGGUAGCUUGUUAGCUGAGGUAACGUGAGCUGUGUAGGGUUGAGUGGAGCCUUUACUGGGGAAUAACACUCUGCCUUAUGGUUUUAAUGGUUUAACGGUUUCCCAGCUGCUGUUUCCGGUUUAAUAUCCCAGUUGUUGUGUUGACAUGAGCUCAUGCUAACUGGGAGGCUGCUCCAGGAUGUCUGUGGCUCACACUGGUCAGUCCUCACUGGUUCUCAGCUUGGCCACUCUCCUGAGGAAUGAUGGCGACCUGGUGCUGGACGGCAGCAGCACCCUGACCUUGCCGGCGGUGAGCCUGCAGCACCUCACCAGGUUGUUUGAGCAGCACCUGUUGUCCCGGAGCCAGCAGCAUGGCUUCCUGGCGCUGCCGUCCCACCCGGCGGACACCGAGUCUCUGCUGCAGCUGCAGUUUCUGUUCGACGUCCUGCAGAAGACCGUCUCCCUCAAGCUCAUCAACCCUCCAGAUGUGAGCCUUCAGUCUGUGGUGAAAAUCUUCCCCUUCAAGUCACUGAAGUGUUUGGAGCUGAAACGAAUCCCUCCUCACUGUCUUGAGGGCCUCAGAGGAGUCUACUCCCAGCUGGAGGUCUUCACCUGCUCUAAGAGUCUCAGCUCCCUGGAGGAGCUGCUGUCUCUAUGUGGAGGAGAUCUGAGCUCUGCACUGCCCUGGCUGGAGCUGCACACCCUCAACUUCAGCUUCAACUCCAUCGUCUGCCUUGACCAGUCAAUAACUUUACUGAACGUCCUGAAAUCUCUGGAUCUAAGCCAUAACAAGAUUCAGGAGUGUGCUGAAUUUCUAAAGCCCUUGAGUGAACUGGAGCGCUUGAACCUGGGCUACAACUGCCUGCAGAGGGCGCCAACGCUUGGCCUGAGUGCCAGGUCCAAACUGCUCACCCUCAUCCUCAGGAACAAUGAACUGGAGACGAUAAACGGUGUGGAGCAGUUGUCUUCACUGCAGCACUUAGACCUGGCCUACAACCUCCUGCUGGAGCAUUCCCAGCUCGCUCCUCUCUCCCUGCUGCACUGCCUCCACACCUUGAAUCUGGAAGGAAACCCGCUGUUCUUCCAGAAGACCCACCGCACCUGCACCGUCCGACACCUCUCUCCAAAGGCUGCCAAUCAGAGACUCAAACUCGAUGGCGUUCCACUUUCUUCAUAUGAGCUAUCGGUUCUGCCCAAACCAGGUCAGCUCAUUGUCCAGGUCCAGACGACGCCUCCUGUGUCUUUGCCUCCAGAACGAAGCAACCAAGAAGGGUCCAGUGGCGCCGGGGAGCUGAGCGACAGCAUGACGGUGGAAGUGGGGGUGUCACACAUCCGCAGGAAGAAAUCCAAGAGUAAGGUCAAAGUGCGGAGGGCCAGCAUAUCGGAGCCCAGCGAUACAGAUUACGGGCCCCGACAGUUUUCCUCCUCGCAGAGUAUUGUUCUUCCCCACCAGCAGGAGAUUGAGCGGAUGUCCAGCUUCAGAGAUCAGCUGGGGGAGGACUGGCUGAGGUACCAGCACCAUCUGGAUGGAUCUUCCUCCUCUCCCAUUGUCCCCACUGUCACUGCAAACCAGUCUCCCCGUCAAACUCUCACCAACGGCUUCAGCACCUCCACGCCAUGUCCGUCCACGAGCAGCGGGAAGCAGCAGCCGUCUCCACCGUCAAUGAAGGUUCCCGAGGUCCUGCAGUCUCCGCUCUUCCCAUCCGAGCCCCUGAUGGAGACGUCAGGCGCAGACGGAGACGAGGACACCGAGUCCACGCUGCACUGGCCCGCUCAGAGCACUAGAGACACGGAGUCCACCCUGGAGGACAGCACGGUGGACAUCCAGGCAGCCAACCAGGGAGAAAUGAACUCUCCUGAGCCGAGUCCAGAGUCUCAACGGCCGGAGAGAGCGGAGAGCAGAGGAGCCAAGGAGGAAGAGGAGGAGGAGGAGGAGGAGGAGGAGGAGGAGGACUUGGGAGUGGACCUGUGUCACCCUCUUCUCGUGGGCGUCUUAUCGGAGGAGGAAGACGACAGUGGCAAGACGAUGGAGGGGAGGAGGAGGAGGGAGGUGUUUCUGUGUGUAAAGCAAGGCCUGGUGCUGGAGGUGGACGUGCAGCGCGGUCAGGAGAGAUGCCGUCUGGAGCUGGACAGCCUGGCUCGGGUGGAGACCACAGAGGCGCUGUGGACCCGUUUGGAAACAGAAGAGAAGCUUCCUGCUGUGGAUCUUCAUUUCGCCUACAUCAGCAGGGAGAAGAGGAGGAGACGCUACGUCCUGCUGGACGAUGACCCACAGCAGGCGCUGCAGGCUCUGACUGACGUGCUGUGCCAUGUGGCGGAGGAGAACCAGCGCCGGGACUCCGAGCUCCGCCCCCGCCGCCUCCUCAUGCAGUGCCUUCGCUGCAGGUCGGAGUUCACGCUGCGAGGAGAGAGCGGCGAGGAGGAGGCCGGAGGGGGGGCGAGGCGGAGGAUACCGAAGGGCGGGGACGAACGGGACGGGGAGGAGCCGACUGAGGUCGAGGGUGAUGAUGAGGGCAAAGGACACGGUAUUUGUCCUGAAUGUGGGAGCGACCAUGUGGUCCAGCUGGCCGGCCAAUCAGAACCCUCGGCCCCCUACAGCAGUUCGCCCGUCGAUCGCCCGUCAUGGCCCCGGAGCGAGGACGAUCAUCUCGAUAAAACCCAGAGUGCCAAGGACCACGACACGGAUGCCAGCAUCAGCAGCAGCCCCCCCCUGGAGAGCGGCACCGCCACACAGGACCCCACCUACGUCACCGCCCAGGGGAGCUCCUUCUUCAACGGGGACGAGGACCACAGCCUGUCCUACAACACGGACUGCCAGAGCAAGGAGGACCUGGCUGGGAGCUACCACUACACCGCCGUCAGAGAGACGCCGCCUGGCGUCCAGGCCGAACCUGCAGGGAGAUCGUCCCCAAACGAUGAGGUGGACUUCCUGUGUGAGGACUACGAAGCCGUGGACCAUCGGCUCAAGCUCUUCCUGGACGUGGAGGUUUUCGAGGAGGAGGAGGAGGAGCUGCACUCGUUCCUCAAGAUGUCAGCCGUCAGGUUCGGGGAGCCGGGGGAGGUUCCUUCUCUGCUGGUGGUGUCCAACCUCAGAAUCUACUUCCUGGAGAUGACGUCAGAGACGCACAGAGGCCAGCUCUCCGAUUGGCUGCAGAAGCGCGACAGCCACCCAAUCAUGGAGCUGGGCUACCUGGAGGUGGGGCUGGGCUCUCAGACCGUCCACAUGGAGUUCGGAGACGGGGGCGCCGCGUACACCCUCUUGGUCCGGGACAGUCUGCGCUGCAAACGCUUCUUUGGCUUGUUGACAGGCCUCGUGCGUGAGAUGGCUCACAAAGUGGACAGCAAGCUGAAGUCCAUCUCCACGACGCGGCUCAGCCCCCAGCACCACCUCUGGCCUCUGGUGUGUGAAGACAUCCAGGAGGACGUGGAGGACGGGCAGCUGCAGUUCUUCUACAUUCUGGCCUUUGUGCUGCAAGACGGCGUCUGGACGCCCCUGACGGUCCUGGCGACCCGGGAAACCCUGUACCUGCUCCGAGAGGAUCACCAGUGGACGAAGAGCUCCAGCGUCCCGGCAGCAGAGGAACCGACGGAGCCGAGCAGCGGCGGCGUGGCCGUGUUGGAGACGCUGCCGAUCAGCUGCGUGAGCUCGGUGCACAUGUGGCCGUCGGACCAGCGCAGGAUGGACCUGAAGCUCUACGACGAGACUGUGAAAGAGGAGAAGACGUGGUGCGUGCGCUCCGAGAGCGUGGAGCUGGUCCAGGGUCUGCUGGCCUGGGUCAGGGCUCAGUGGGAGGCCAUGUUCGGAGUCAAGCUGCUCACGACGCUGCAAGAGGAAGCUGCGUAAAACUACACAACUGACUGUGUGUGUGUGUGUUUGUGUGUCUGGGAAACGCUUCAUCCGCUCUGAUCUCUCGUCACGUUCAGAGCUGAGAGAAUUCCAAGUUGUGUGAAGUUCAGUGGAAACGUGUGACGCCAGCGAUCCUCCUCCAGGUCCACACCUACGUGCUCCUGAAUCCAUCGUGAUGCAAACCACAGAAAUGUGUUGACACAAAGAGGUUGUGACAGAGCUGCGAUGAGUCGACCUUUGGGUUACACUUCACUUGUCUCCUCCCUGCUCUAUGAAGUUUCAUCAGCAGAGAUCUGAACAAACGUCUCGUGUGGAAACUUGUCAGAGAAUCACACGUCACAGUUCAGAGCCGGUUCUGGAGGAUUCUCUCUCUUCUCUGAACUGUUAGCUCUGGUUUCUGAACCGGCCUGUAAUCCACUUCCUCUCGCUAAUUGUUUGAUUCCUUCAUUGGUGCUUAGGAAAACCCGAAAGUGGCUCGUAAACCUGCUGUCUUCACGAGCCAUUUCCACUUUACUGGGUCAACUUAAUCAUGACUGUUUCCUGCUGGCUGCAGCUGAAACAGCAGCCGAGGAGGAGGAGGAGGAGGAGGAGGAGGAGGAAGAAGAAUUCUCCGAGUCCUAGAUGUUUGUUUAUUGGAUCAUUCUCCCUCUUUCUGGCCACUUGACACCAAGCUGCGGGUCCCGCCCCCUCGGAGCUCAGCUGUGUGUGAAAGGUCUGCUCACCAGCUCCACAGUGUAGAUGUGUCCAUGUGUGGAGCACCUGGCGGGUCCCAGACCUGGAUCCCCUCACCCACAAGCCUGACAAAUCCCAAAGAGCCUCCGCUCAGACCUGUGGUGACGAGCACGGCUCAGGUUCUCCUCUUCACUCUGGAUCUCUGAGAGGUCAGGGGUCAAGUGCAGGUGCAGAACCCCCCCCCCCCCCCCCCCCCCCCCAGAAGGCCCGACUCUUCAGCAGGUCGGAGGGGAGGAGCUGAGGUUUCUGUCACGUUGCUCAAAUCCAGGAGAAUUAAAGGAUCUGUAAAAGAAAAGUGUGACAAAGCUUUUAAUGACUCGUCUGGUCCAGACUUCACCCCACAUGUUCACUGCUGCGAUGGAAGGGGAGGAGAACUUUACUUUAACAGGAAGUCAAAUGUAAUUGGUUGUUUUCUGGUUUAAACUAGAAUAACACUCAGAACAACCCCCCCCCAAGGGCCUGAUCUCUCAAUGGUACAGAAAGGGAUACAAACUUUGUCUGCAUGUUCUGUUUCCUUAUUGAUAUAUUUUUGUAUUUAGAAUAAAGUUCAAAAGUGUAA